GACGAACGCUGGCGGCGUGCUUAACACAUGCAAGUCGAACGGAAAGGCCCUGCUUUUGUGGGGUGCUCGAGUGGCGAACGGGUGAGUAACACGUGAGUAACCUGCCCUUGACUUUGGGAUAACUUCAGGAAACUGGGGCUAAUACCGGAUAGGAGCUCCUGCUGCAUGGUGGGGGUUGGAAAGUUUCGGCGGUUGGGGAUGGACUCGCGGCUUAUCAGCUUGUUGGUGGGGUAGUGGCUUACCAAGGCUUUGACGGGUAGCCGGCCUGAGAGGGUGACCGGCCACAUUGGGACUGUGAUACGGCCCAGACUCCUCCGGGAGGCAGCAGUGGGGAAUAUUGCACAAUGGGCGGAAGCCUGAUGCAGCAACGCCGCGUGCGGGAUGACGGGCUUCGGGUUGUAAACCGCUUUCGCCUGUGACGAAGCGUGAGUGACGGUAAUGGGUAAAGAAGCACCGGCUAACUACGUG
rnacentral:rRNA from 1 species